rnacentral:rRNA from 1 species
UACGAAGGGGGCUAGCGUUGUCCGGAAUCAUUGGGCGUAAAGCGCGUGUAGGCGGUCCGGUAAGUCCGCUGUGAAAGUCGGGGGCUCAACCCUCGGAUGCCGGUGGAUACUGUCGGGCUUGAGUACGGAAGAGGCGAGUGGAAUUCCUGGUGUAGCGGUGAAAUGCGCAGAUAUCAGGAGGAACACCGAUUGCGAAGGCAGCUCGCUGGGACGUCACUGACGCUGAGACGCGAAAGCGUGGGGAGCGAACAGG